UACGAGGGGCGCAAACGUUAUUCGGAUUUACUGGGCUUAAAGAGCGCGUAGGCGGUCCGAUAAGUCGGCUGUGAAAGUCAGGGGCUCAACCCUUGGAAGCCGGCCGAUACUGUCGGACUAGAGUACGGAAGAGGCGAGUGGAAUUCCUGGUGUAGCGGUGAAAUGCGCAGAUAUCAGGAGGAACACCAAUUGCGAAGGCAGCUCGCUGGGACGUUACUGACGCUGAGACGCGAAAGCGUGGGGAGCAAACAGG
rnacentral:rRNA from 1 species